rnacentral:rRNA from 1 species
GGAACUUUCUGCUCGUUUUGAUGCAGUCGAGCGGAACGACAACAUUGACCCUUCGGAUGAUUUGUUGGGCGUCGAGCGGCGGACGGGUGAGUAAUGCUUAGGAAUUUGCCCAGUCGAGGGGGACAACAGUUGGAAACGACUGCUAAUACCGCAUACGCCCUUCGGGGGAAAGCAGGGGACCUUCGGGCCUUGCGCGAUUGGAUAAGCCUAAGUGAGAUUAGCUAGUUGGUGAGGUAAUGGCUCACCAAGGCGACGAUCUCUAGCUGGUCUGAGAGGAUGAUCAGCCACACUGGAACUGAGACACGGUCCAGACUCCUACGGGAGGCAGCAGUGGGGAAUAUUGCACAAUGGGCGAAAGCCUGAUGCAGCCAUGCCGCGUGUAUGAAGAAGGCCUUCGGGUUGUAAAGUACUUUCAGCAGUGAGGAAGGGUGGGUAGUUAAUAGCUGCACAUCUUGACGUUAGCUGCAGAAGAAGCACCGGCUAACUCCGUGCCAGCAGCCGCGGUAAUACGGAGGGUGCGAGCGUUAAUCGGAAUUACUGGGCGUAAAGCGCAUGCAGGUGGUUUGUUAAGUCAGAUGUGAAAGCCCGGGGCUCAACCUCGGAAUUGCAUUUGAAACUGGCAGGCUAGAGUACUGUAGAGGGGGGGUAGAAUUUCAGGUGUAGCGGUGAAAUG